UAGCAAUACGGGAGCGGCAGACGGGAGAGUAACACGUGGGAACGCGCCCUUCGGUUCGGAAUAACUCAGGGAAACUUGAGCUAAUACCGGAUACGCCCUUACGGGGAAAGAUUUAUUGCCGAAGGAACGGCCCGCGUCGGAUUAGCUAGUUGGUGAGGUAAUGGCUCACCAAGGCGACGAUCCGUAGCUGGUCUGAGAGGAUGACCAGCCUCACUGGGACUGAGACACGGCCCAGACUCCUACGGGAGGCAGCAGUGGGGAAUAUUGGACAAUGGGCGCAAGCCUGAUCCAGCCAUGCCGCGUGGGUGAUGAAGGCCCUAGGG
rnacentral:rRNA from 1 species